UACAGAGGUCUCAAGCGUUGUUCGGAUUCAUUGGGCGUAAAGGGUGCGUAGGCGGCGCGGUAAGUCGGGUGUGAAAUCUCGGGGCUUAACUCCGAAACUGCAUUCGAUACUGCCGUGCUUGAGGACUGGAGAGGAGACUGGAAUUUACGGUGUAGCGGUGAAAUGCGUAGAUGUCGUAAGGAAGACCAGAGGCGAAGGCGGCUACCUGGACAAUUGCUGACGCUCAGGCACGAAAGCGUGGGGAGCAAAAGGG
rnacentral:rRNA from 1 species